CAGCAAAGGAGUCCGUGGCGGACCCGCCCUCAAGCCGCCAGAUCCGCCUGACUGUCAGAUUCGUUUUCGCUGCGCUAACAGGAUCGGCCCCGCCUCCAGGAUCGGCCCCGCCUGCGCUUUUAAUCAGCGGACCCAGAACAGAUCACAUACGGAUCCGCACUUUGGACGCGCCUUAGAUAACCGCCGUGUGGGAAUUAGUCGGGAUCUCCUUCGCGUGAAGUUCGGCUGCCAAAUUUCUUCUUUGGCCACGAUUGGUGGAGAGAGUGGCGUGGAACAUCCUCUCUCGGAUGUUCACAGAAGAAGUGGCCAAGACCAUAAGCUCGAAGGGGGCAAAUGGCAAGAGGGCAUUCAGUCACAUGUCGUCGAAGACACUAAUGUACCGUGCUGUACGUGCAAAUAGUUUGUGUCGCACAGCCACAGACAUUCAACGUUAUGCCAUAAGAUGGUUUAACUUGGCUGCAGACCGUGGUGCGGCAAGGAGGCGCCUGACCAACCGGUCUAACCAGGCUGAGGCAGAUGAUUAGGCUACUUAUGGUCAUGUUUUCUUUUGUUAAAUAAAAUUUUUAUUCGUUUCAAA